rnacentral:sRNA from 1 species
UAAUUACAAACAGUUUUGUAACUCUUUGCUUUUUAAAUCUUAAAAAAAAAAAGUUGCUGAAGUACUGUACAGGGUUGUACAAUGAGAACCCAAUGCCAAGGCAAAAAGAACGAGUGAUUCUUCCUUAGGAUACACAUCAACCACUUUGCUGUUGAAGCUGUCAGAAUAAAUUCCUGGUGGUCAGAUGAAAGGGCAGAUUAAAUGGACUCAUCAGGUGGGAUUUCUGGCUGCUGAAACCGCUUUGGGCCAGGAAGAACAAGGAUGAAGAGGUUCCUGUCAUUUCUUAUGGGGUUCACAGAAUUAUUUGGGGCUUAAAUGGUACAAUGGAGACAGUCAUGUGCAAUGCUUAAGAUGGUCUGACAGGGUCCCUUUUGCUGGAGGUGUUCCUGAAGAGAUUGAACCUAGUAACAGGCUUUAUUUUCACCUUGUGUACAACAUGGCAAAGACUGCUAAGAUUAAAAUCCGUCUCCCAUUUGUUACAGCCUCACCUGCACCAGGAUAGAAAGCACAUGAUGGAAUCUGUGAUGUCUAAUGUGUCUUAUGAAAAUUGCCAAACAACUGUCCC